rnacentral:rRNA from 1 species
UUGAAAGGGAAACGAUUGAAGUCAGUCGUACCUACGGGUAAUCAACCUACUCGAGUGCGAUUUUGUGGGUAUGUUAGAGCUUAAAAACCUUCAUGCUUACAAAUUGGUGCUCUUUGGGCGUACUUUCUCGUAUGGUAGGUUAACAUCAAUUUCGAUCGUUAUAAAAUGACUGGAGGAAUGUAGCUUCGAUCUCGGUUGAAGUGUUAUAGCCUUUGGUAGAUGUAAUGAUUGGGAUUGAGGAUUGCAACGGAUACCCUCUGGGCUAUUCGUCUGAUCUCUGGAAGUUACCUUGGUGUCGAAAGCGUGCUUACGAUAUUAAGGUUGACGGCCAAUAGGUUAGAACGUGAUUAAAUUCGUUAAGGAUGUUGACGUA